UUAAAUUAACCCAAUUCCUCUCUCCCUCCCUCCCUCCAAGAAUUGGGAUUUGGGAAUGGCCGCCUUGGCUAUUUUCUGUGAGAAAAAGUCCUUCUCGUAGACUGCGAACAAUUACCAGAAGCCGAAACCUCCAUUGCUCAGUCCGCUUCGAUUUCGUUCCAAAAUUAUCUCCUCAAAAGAACACCACAACUUCGCUUGAAAGUUCAGCUCAAGAGACACAAAAGCCUCUCUUCCUGGCAAGCCAGUCGGUAGUCCAGAUCCGGUUCUUCUCAAUCGAAUUCGUUCUCGGUUUUCAUUCGCCAGAUAAGAGACGGAUUUAAGGUUGACGAAUUGGGAGUAGAGAUUUUGUCAAUUGCUUUUCCUGCUGCGUUGGCUCGUGCGGUUGAUCCCCUCACAUCGUUGGUUGAUAGUGCUUUUGUCGGUCACUUAGGAUGAUCGGUUGAACUGGCAGCAGUCGGGAUAUCAGUUUCGGUCUUCAACCUGGUAUCCAAAUUGUUUAAUGUUCUCCUGCUCAACAUUCACCACAUCUUUUGAUGCUGAAGAGAAGGCACUGGUUAACAAGGGAGGUGAUGGCGUGAUGGUUAUAGUUUAGUUGGUGAUGUUUGUUGCAGGAUCUCAGCCAAUGAAUGCUCUUGCAUUGUUCUUGAUGGACUCUUCCGUGGGGUUUCAGACUUUGGAUAUGCUGUGUACUCUAUGUUGCAGGUUGGGAAAUCAUUGGUCUUCCUGCUUUUGGCUGCCUCGUACUUGGUCUUGCUAAAAAAUAUUUGUCAAGUCAACUCUGUAUCUCAAAAACCAGGAGUUUAGUAAUUUGACUUGAAUAGAUUUUUGAAUCUCCCCUUUAAAUACCAGAUUUCUCUCCUAAUCGUACAUAUGAAUCUUUUCCAGGAUGUGCAUGAAAACAGGACCAUGGGAAGAUUGAGCAAGGAGGUAGCUGAGGUGAUCAUCGAGGUUACAGGACAAGGCACAUGAAGGUUUGAAAUGCUGAGGACACCAAUCAAAUAAGCAUUGUUCCUGUGACAUCGUUGUGGUACCAUGAGAGUUGAAAAGCAGUUUCAAGAUUGCUGGAUUAACUGGCUAGAUGGGCUUGCAGAGAGCUGUUAACAGUCUGGAUUCAUAUUUUAUAUGGGACUGGAGAUCGAUAGUCAACUAUUGCUCACAGCCGCAGUAGUGAGGUUUCCUUUGCUGUUCCUCUCCCAUUAUGGCCAUCUCAAAUUCAACAUCUUUGGAAGGGACAUAACUAGAUAUACGUACUGGAGCAUCAUGCAAGUGAUCAUAUCUGUCCUUGAAACAACUAUGGCUACUGUGGUCUAUGUUUUCAGAAGGCUCACCGACUUCAUUUCUCCACGUAGCUGGCCUCCCUGCUUCAGCAUGAUUAGAAGUUCUGGAUCUAUUUCUUCCUUUAGUAUAGAUGUCUCAACCUCAACAUCAGCAAAUUCACGAUCAGUUUAUACUCGAGGACUCAACUCAUCAGGUUUUUCCUUAGAUAAUAUUUGAAUCGUCUUCGAUUCCUCACCACUGCCAGCUUCACAACUUCUUGUUACCCUCAUAGAUCCAGUAGAUGAUCUUUCAGUUGUUCUUGAAGCUGG